GCCUGGGUGGCUCAGUCAGUUAAGCAUCUGACUUCUGCUCAGGUCAUGAUCUCAUGGUUUGUGGGUUCAAGCCCCACGUCAGGCU
rnacentral:tRNA from 1 species